CAAGAGACGAGCCGCGACGAGACUAACGUAAACUAGCAGAGCAAUGGGGACAUAGGAAAGAGAGCGAGACAGGUAUCAGAGAGCAAGACAGGCAUCAGAGAGCAUGACAGGCAUCAGAGAGCAUGACAGGCAUCUGAGGGUAAGGCAGGAAUCCGAGACUAAGACAGGCAUCAGAGAGCAAAACAGGCAACACAGAGUGAGACAGGUAGCAGACUCACCUGGACAGGUAGACUCUCACAGUCGUGGUUCAUUAGGAGGACAAACUGUUGACAGGAGGAUCAGCAGCACAAAGCUGAAAUCCUUUUCAUGAACAGGAUCACACACACCUGGGUUUAUAUGAGUUUGACCAACACCUGGUUCAGUGAAUUGGACAAGGACCAGAUUCAGUGAGUUGGACCCAGAACAGGUUCAGUGUAUCAGACCAGGACAAGGUUCAGUGAGUCGGAAGAGGACCAGGUCCAGGGAAUCGGAAGACGACUAGGUCCAGUGAGUCGGAAGAGGACCAGGUUCACAGGACCAGGUACAGUGCGAGGUUUCCUGUGACCAGGGAGUGGCAGCUGUUUCUUCUUUUGCUGUUUUGACAGAACAGGAAGUGUUUGUGGUUGAGUGAAGAAGAAUGAAGUUUAUCUUUGAAGAGACGAGAACCAGACCUACGAGUCCGGACCUGAGAGCCAGAGACAGUCAGUAAGGGAGGGGGAUGCUGACUCACCAAGGGUGUCUACCUGUUGGACCAGGUCUGACUGACCAAGCUGGACCAGGUCUAACAAUGUGGAUGAGGCCUGACUGAAGUAUUUAAAAAGAAAAAGUAAUCAUGUUAUUCUACACUUUUGUUUAUAAUUUAAUUGUAUUAUUAUAUUUUUGUUUAACUUCAAAAGUAAACCAAACAGGAAAAAAGUUGUUACAUUUUAAAUUAUGAAAUGUUUCACUUAAAACAAACAAUUCCAGGUAAAAAAAAUACAAAAUACAAGAUUUCUCUGGUUGUCAAUGGAAAACAUUUGGCCGAUCACAGUCCAGUGGGCGGGGCUAGGUGUCGGUCCUGCAUCUGAAACAGACACCCAAUAAAAU
ensembl:lncRNA